GGCAAAUAUUCCAUUUUAUCAAAUACAAAUACUGUCAAAAUAGUUUUGAAUGACAUUUUGAUUCCAGUUAUCAAUAUUUAUUAUAGUAUUCACAUUGAGAAAUAAGGUUGUCGCUGGCUCUGGCCCAUAGACUGUGAGAGGCCAAGUGAGGGUAAGGACGUAGACGGAUAGUUCACUAGGCUGGUCUCAGAGUUGGGUUGUUUGAGAUUGCAGCCCGAAGAGGGUGGUAAGCUCCAUCCAAAGCCAAAUGCUUCCACAAAUCCGAUAGUGAAAAAUUACCACGAAG
rnacentral:ncRNA from 1 species